rnacentral:rRNA from 1 species
ACGGAGGCAGCAGUGGGGGAUAUUGCACAAUGGGGGAAACCCUGAUGCAGCGACGCCGCGUGAGUGAAGAAGUAUUUCGGUAUGUAAAGCUCUAUCAGCAGGAAAGAUAAUGACGGUACCUGACUAAGAAGCACCGGCUAAAUAAGUGCCAGCAGCCGCGGUAAUACGUAUGGUGCAAGCGUUAUCCGGAUUUACUGGGUGUAAAGGGAGCGCAGACGGCAUGGCAAGCCAGAUGUGAAAGGUGGGGGCUCAACCCCCAAGCUGCAUUUGGAACGUUCAGGCUAGAGUAUCGGAGAGGUAAGUGGAAUUCCUAGUGUAGCGGUGAAAUGCGUAGAUAUUAGGAGGAACACCAGUGGCGAAGGCGGCUUACUGGACGAUAACUGACGUUGAGGCUCGAAAGCGUGGGGAGCAAACAGGAUUAGAUACCCUGGUA